CUAUUCCAUUGCUGCUCAACAGGCCCACUGCCACACAGCCUCGGACCCACAUCAAACCCUGGAUUCCCUCUUAACCCUCUGGUUUUGUAAACCCUGACCAAGGUCACCUGCUGACACAACAAUCCGACACAACUCUCCACAGCCCCCUGAAUACUGGCAACAUGGCAGCUUGUGUGAGAGAGGGAUGCUGACGAAAGAGAAAAUAUUGCCAGAGCUCGGGUAAUGCUUCUCGAUUCGUUAGACUUGAGUGAACAGCCGCAUCCGUGUGUGUAUUUAAAGAUGAAAAGAAUAAAAUACAUUCUUAACUCUG